rnacentral:rRNA from 1 species
AGUGAACGCUGGCGGUAGGCCUAACACAUGCAAGUCGAACGGCAGCACAGUAAGAGCUUGCUCUUACGGGUGGCGAGUGGCGGACGGGUGAGGAAUACAUCGGAAUCUACUUUUUCGUGGGGGAUAACGUAGGGAAACUUACGCUAAUACCGCAUACGACCUACGGGUGAAAGCAGGGGAUCUUCGGACCUUGCGCGAUUGAAUGAGCCGAUGUCGGAUUAGCUAGUUGGGGGGGUAAAGGCCCACCAAGGCGACGCUCCGUAGCUGGUCUGAGAGGAUGGACAGGCCAAACUGGACUUGAGAAACGGCCAAGACCCCUAGGGAGGGAGGAAGGGGGGAAUAUGGGCAAAGGGGGGCAAGCCUGAUCCAGCCAGCCCGGGUGGGGGAAGAAGGCCUUCGGGUUGUAAAGCCCUUUUGUUGGGAAAGAAAAGAAGCAGGUUAAAACCCCGCUGUUCUGACGGUACCCAAAGAAUAAGCACCGGCUAACUUCGU